UGGGGGAUAUUGCACAAUGGGCGAAAGCCUGAUGCAGCGACGCCGCGUGGGGGAUGAAGGCCUCCGGGUUGUAAACUUCUUUUGCUCUGAACAAGGCAUGCCUUUGGGGUGUGUUGAGUGUAGGGGUUGAUUAGCGCCGGCUAACUACGUGCCAGCAGCCGCGGUAAUACGUAGGGCGCGAGCGUUGUCCGGAAUUAUUGGGCGUAAAGGGCUUGUAGGUGGCUGGUUGCGUCUGUCGUGAAAGCUCAUGGCUUAACUGUGCGUUUGCGGUGGGUACGGGCUGGCUUGAGUGCAGUAGGGGAGGCUGGAAUUCCUGGUGUGGCGGUGGAAUGCGCAGAUAUCAGGAGGAAUACCGGUGGCGAAGGCGGGUCUCUGGGCUGUUACAGACGCUGAGGAGCGAAAGCGUGGGGAGCGAACAGG
rnacentral:rRNA from 1 species